rnacentral:rRNA from 1 species
UUGAACGCUGGCGGCAUGCUUUACACAUGCAAGUCGAACGGUAACAGGGAGCUUGCUCCGCUGACGAGUGGCGAACGGGUGAGUAAUGCAUCGGAACGUACCCAGUCGUGGGGGAUAACGUAGCGAAAGUUACGCUAAUACCGCAUACGUCCUGAGGGAGAAAGCGGGGGACCGUAAGGCCUCGCGCGAUUGGAGCGGCCGAUGUCGGAUUAGCUAGUUGGUUGGGUAAAGGCCUACCAAGGCGACGAUCCGUAGCGGGUCUGGGAGGAUGAUCCGCCACACUGGGACUGAGACACGGCCCAGACUCCUACGGGAGGCAGCAGUGGGGAAUUUUGGACAAUGGGGGCAACCCUGAUCCAGCCAUGCCGCGUGAGUGAAGAAGGCCUUCGGGUUGUAAAGCUCUUUCGGCAGGAACGAAAUGGUCACGGUUAAUAACCGUGACUUCUGACGGUACCUGAAGAAGAAGCACCGGCUAACUACGU